GUGCUUGCUUCAGCAGCACAUUUACUACAAUUGGAAGGAUGCAGAGAAGAUUAGCAUGGCCCCUACUCAAGGGUGACAUGCAAAUUCAUGAAGCGGUCCAUAGUUUU